rnacentral:rRNA from 1 species
ACCUCUGCCUAUGAUAGUUUAAAUGGCCGCAGUAUUUUGACUGUGCAAAGGUAGCAUAAUCACUUGUUUUUUAAUUGAAGGCUGGAAUGAAGGAGGCGACGAAAUCUAGGCUAUUAAUUUGUGGCGUGAAAUUAACAUAAAGAUUAAAAGGUCUUUAUUUAUCAAAGGGACGAUAAGACCCUGUAAAACUUUACUAUAAAGCAAAUUAUUUAGUUAAAUUUAUAGAUUUAUAGUUUAACUGGGGCGGUUUAUAUAAAAACAAUUGUAGCAAAAAUAUGUAAAAUAAAAUUCUAGAACUCUUAUAAGAAAUAAACAAGUUACUUUAGGGAUAACAGCAUAAUUCUCCCAGAGAGUCCUAAUUGGCGGGAGAGCUUAUGACCUCGAUGUUGAAUUGAGGGGUCUGGUGUAAGCAGAAAUAUACUAAGAUAGUCUGUUCGACUAUUAAAUCCUC